rnacentral:lncRNA from 1 species
GUCCUGGGAGGCCCUGAGGAAUGAGGAGUGUGGUGAAACCUGGGAGUGCAGCUGGCCCAAGGGAGGGAAUAACUGAACCCUUCUAACCAUGAACUGCAGCAGAAAGAGUCAAAUGUGCAAGUAAGGCUUAAGGUUGAGCUGGCCAGCCCAACUGGAGGUGGGCCAACCUCUAAGAUAUGAAAUGAUGUAUUCUGAGGAUACUGAAGCUCUCCCAAGGCCUAGGCUCAUAAUAAAGGCACCAGGUGCUUUCCUGGAGGCUGGAAAAGCCACAUGACAGGAGUGAAGGCAAGCAGGGCUGCUACUGACUUUUGUUACAAGAAAGCUUUUCAAACUCAGAUUAUAAAUGGCAAAGCUAUUGUAUGUUCAUUUCAUGAAGUGUUUAUUACACAGGCACUGAAAUACAUCCAAUAUAUCUGACUCUUACCUGCGCAGGCACAAUAAAUAGGUUUACUCCAGCAUCCUAGCUGCAGCUUUCAGGUCAGCAUGGGCAUAGGACAGGGCAGGAGGCACUGGGGUGGCCCCAGACAUUUCCCGACCACUCGCUUUCCAGCACUUUAGCUGGAACAUGAGGAAUUUUGUUUAGAGACAGAAAAAGUGAGUGACUCCAACUGGCUGCAAAUAGCUCUAACUAGAGGGAGCUACAGGCUACUUUUGGCCCAGCCUGGGUGGUGAGUGUCCACGCAGGUGGGUUUGGGAGCUGUGGACCAGUUGCUCUAGGGACUGAGCUAACUUGCAGCUUUGUGGUGGCCCCAUUCAGCCAGAGCUGUUCCCGGAGCAGGGCCCAGGAAGACGUCGCUCACCAGACCCAGUAUCAGGAUGUUAUUCGCAUGCUUAAAUCUGCAGGAUCAAUCACUUGUUAUCGGAAGGACACAGACAAGAUAAGCACGUGUUGCAUAUGAUGGCGUGUGGGAGACGGCUGCGAGACGCAACAAUGAGCUAUAGACAGAGCCACCGCUGCCCGGCCGACAGGCAGGGGCCGUGCGCGGGGACUGGGCCUCGGUCAGUUAUUGCUCGGGAGAACGCUGCGUUACCGAUCCGAGCCGGGCCCCGGGGCCAGCGCGCUCGGCCGCGGUUUCCGUGCCGUCCCGAGCCAGCCCCCUGCUCAGCUGCAGCCCCAGCAGCUCCCGCCCAUCCCUGUGCACAUCCACAUCCGCCGUUUACCCCGGGACGGGCAGGAGGACCGCGCCGGGACAAGGCUCCCCGCUCCGGGUAGCACACCAGCCGUCCGGCCACGUUUAUUCAAGCAGCGGAAGAGCCGCCCCCCGCCGCGCCCGGGCAGGAAGCGGCUCUGCGCGGCCUCUCCCGCCGGCGCGGCGCGGGGCGGGGUUCGGCCCGGGGCCUCCGGCCGCAGGAAACGGAGGCGGCGGUGGGUACCCGCGGCCCCGCGCAGUGCCGCGCCUCCUCCGCCCUGCCCGCGGCCAGAGAGCGGCUGCCGGCGCACCCCGCCCCGGGACCGCGGCGGCGCCACGCGGUGAUUGGGGCGGCCUCCUGUGGGGAAUGGCGGCUUCCGGCCUCGCUCCGCUCGCAGGUCACGUAACGGCGGUGGUGCGGGCGGUAACGCGCCCCCGGAGCCGCGCCAGGCCUCGGCCGCGGAGACCUUCUCUGGUGGGAAGGAGACGCGGCCCGGCCUCCUGCCCUGCUCCUCAUGGCUGUGCGGCCCUGCAGGACCCGCCACCGUGUGCCUCGGGCGUGGAACGAGCAGGGCGCAGGCCCGUGAGUCCCUUUGUUCCCGGCUCCAGGACUGGGUGA